rnacentral:lncRNA from 1 species
UUGUUCAUUCUUUUGAUAAAAUUUGGAUUAGCUAGCUAGUUUUACUUGGUCAACGGUUGUUGGAGAUUUGAAGGUUCAUUUCCUUAUUGGUCUGUGUAUUUUUAGGUUGAAUGCGACUGAUUUCCUAGAGAGAUUAAGAGGGAAAAAGAUGGUUUUUGUGGGGGAUUCUCUGAACAGAAAUAUGUGGGAAUCUUUGGUGUGUAUACUCCGCCAUAGUAUCAGCAACAAGAAGAAAGUUCAUGAGAUAUCAGGGAAGACUGAGUUUAAGAAGAAAGGUUUCUACGCCUUCUUGUUCGAGGCAAGUUGUUGGAAAUGAAAUCACCUCACUUAUGUUAAACCACUUUAUAUGAUGUUUAAUUGUUUGAGGUGUAAUUUGCAGGACUACAACUGUACUGUGGAUUUCGUUGGCUCCCCGUUCCUCGUUCGAGAAUCAUCCUUCUCUGGUGCGAACGGUACGUUAGAGACGUUAAGGUUGGACUUGAUGGACAAGACAACUUCCAUGUACGAUGAUGCUGAUAUACUAGUUUUCAACACUGGUCACUGGUGGACUCAUGCGAAAACUUCUAAAGGGUAUGAAUGAACAAUACUCUACUUCUUGUUACCAUUUUGCAACCAUAUGAAUGUCGAAUUCGUGUUUUGUAGAGAGGACUAUUAUCAGGAAGGUGAUUAUGUGCAUAAAAGGCUCAAGGUACUUGAAGCAUAUAAGAGGGCACUUAGAACAUGGAGCAGAUGGGUUGAUCAGAGCAUAGAUACAAACAGAACCCUUGUCUUCUUCAGAGGCUAUUCAGUGACUCAUUUCAGGUAUAGAAUACUCUUGGAAUCUCAUUUUCAUCGAACACAUUCUUUUUUCUAUUCCAAGUCAUUAGUUAUCUUGUAAGAUUGGAGCUUAGCAAAGAGGUAAAGACUCAACGACAUGUUUGAAAUUCCCCGAAUUCGAGUAUUUGACACGUUUAUUAGGGGUUUGUCUUAUCUCUUGUCAAGUGCAUACGAUUCCAACAAGGAAAGCUUCGUUUGUCUUGUUCUUUUGCAGAGGUGGCCGGUGGAACUCAGGAGGACAAUGCCACAAAGAGACUGAACCGAUCUUCAACGCAACUCACUUAGCUAAGUACCCUACGAAAAUGAAAGUUUUGGAGAAUGUGCUCCAUGAGAUGAAAACUCCAGUGAUUUAUCUGAACAUAAGCAGACUCACGGAUCACAGAAAAGACGGGCACCCGUCGAUUUACAGAAUGAAAUACGAUACGCCUGAAGAACUUGCUGCAGCCGAACGAUCCCAAGAUUGCAGUCACUGGUGCCUUCCGGGAGUGCCGGAUACCUGGAAUGAGCUUCUCUAUGCCUCGAUCUUGAAGUCUGGGAUUGGAUCAACCUAGAAGAAAUGAAUCCAGGUGAUUCGCAACGGUGCAUCUACUGAAUCUUUUUCUGAAUACCGAGUCUGCUUCUACAUAAUACCAAUUCAUCUACUGAAUCUUUUCUGUUGUAACUUUUACCAAUUAGCCAUAGAGUAGCAAAAGCUUGUUGAUUGCUUAAAAGGAUGUAAAAUUUGAACGACUGGUUCUGCUAGGCUCGAAAUUGUAGAUUCUGAUACAAGAUACUUGUCUUCAGUUCCAGAGAUUCCAGAAAUGGUCAAAUGUUUGAUUCUUGUAUGCUAUUUACACUUCUACUAGCCAACUCAGUUUUACCAAUUCCAGAAAUUGAUGGAUGUUUGUAGUACUUGCAUUCAAUACGCGGCAAUAAUCGCGAUAAAUUGUCGUUUUUAACUGGUUUAACAAGACGGUACGAUGAGUAAAGCAUCGAUCUUUAUCGGUUCAACCAGGCAGUACGAUAAGUAAGAAGUACAAACAUCAAUCCUCUUAUGAUUUGGAUUUUCAGAAACAAAACAAACCAAAACAGAAACCAUACUGGUGGUUUUUGCAGAAUCAGAACAGACAUCAAAACAAACUGGAUUGCAACAUAAGAAAGCAAAAGAUAAAUGUUUUAGCCAUAAGAGGAACUCCCAUCAUGACUGGAGCCGAACUGCCUUUCUGUGACUUGCCGGUUCGCCAGCAGAAAGAUGAAACCUUUCGCCAUUAAAGGACUGGAAAAAUUUCACCUCAUCACUGAACAAACUGUUUUGAAGAAGAUAAUGAUGAUGAACAAUGGAACCCACCAAAGGCAAGGUUUGGGAACCAAUCAUCCAACACUCCAAAUCUGUUCCCCCCCACAAACAAACAACCAACUCCCCCCCAAAGGCUUCUUCUUUCUCCAUGGAUAUGGGGAUCAGAGCUUUGAUUGGAAGAACACUACCAUUUUUCCAGAUCAGGAGUGGAAUCCAAUGGGGGAGAGGGGAAGUUUGGCUCUUUGUGGCAAGAGAGCCAAAAUGGUUUGUGGGGGGUGGAGGAGCUUAGCCUAGUUAUGGAGGGGUUUAAAUAGUUUCAUUGGUUGAGAAGUGAAGGAUAAAUUUUUGGGGGUUUUUUUUUUGUUUUU